ensembl:lncRNA
GCAAAAGUGGACUGGAAAACUAGGAAUAUCAAAGAAAGUGCCACCAAUUAAAAACAUUGCCUGUGUGUUUUGCACUGCAGCUAUACAACAACUAAAGGAGUUAGGCAGAAGAAGAAGUAAACACAAGCACAAGCAUAAGAACAAGCUCAAGUCAAGAUGGAAUCUUAUGACCUUCCCAACAGCACACACUGUCCAUCAAGGCCACUCAUCAAUAUCUAGUUUGCUUUGUUGUAACCCUUGAGAACAAAUCACAGAGGAGAUGGGACCAAUUUCAUGUCACAGAAGCAUGGAACAGGAAGAAAAAAGAUGUCUGUCUAACCAAAUUUUCUUCUGAUCAGCUAGAGUGGAGGUAAAGNCUUUUGAGAUGAAGAUAAAUAAUUGGUUCCACAGUGUCAUCUUUCUUCACAGGAAAAGAUUCUUCAGAAAUCUGCAGUAUGUAUGUCCAAAAAAUAGACUUUGGUACAGUACAGAAAACAUGGAACAAAAGACUGGUUCAAGAUUGGGAAAGCAGUAUGACAAAGCUGUAUAUUGUCACCCUAUUUAUUUAACUUAUCUGCAAGAGUGCAUCAUGGAAAAUGCGGGCUGGAUGAAUCAAAAGCCAGAAUUUAGAUUGCCAAGAAAAAUAUCAACAGAAAGUGAAGAAUUAAAGAGCUUCUUGAUGCGGUUGGAAGAGGAGAGUGCAAAUGCUGGCUUGCAGCUCAACAUUAAAAAAACCCAAAAUCAUGGAAUUCAGUCCCAUCACUUCCCAGUGAUAGAGGGGGAAGAAAUGGAAGCAGUGGCGGAUUUUAUUUUCUUGGAUUCAAUGAUAACUACAGAUGGUGACUGCAGCCAUCAAAUUAAAUGAUGCUUGCUCCUUGGGAGGAAAGCUAUAGCAAACUUAGACAGCAUAUUAAAAAGCAGAGACAUCACCUUGUCGACAAGGCCUGUAUAGUCAAAGUUAUGGUUUUCCCAGUAGCAAAUUAUGGCCAUAAGUUGGACCAUAAGGAAGGCUGCAUGCCAAAGAAUCAACAGUUUUGAAUUGUGGUGCUGGAGAAGACUUUUGACGAUCCCUUGGACUGCAGGGAGAUCCAAUCAGUCAACCCUAAAGGAAUUCAAUCCUGACUGUUGACUGGAAGGACAAAUACUAGCGGCGGAGCUCAGAUUCUUUGGCCACAAAAUGCAAAGACAGAAUUCAUUGGAAAAAGGCUCUGAUGCUGGGAAAGAUUGAAGGCAAAGAGAAAAAGGGAGGGCAAAAGAUGAGAUGGAUAGAUAGUGUCAUGAAAACAAUGAACAUGAGCUUGGGCAAAUUUUGGGAGGCAAUAGAAGACAGAAGACCCUGGCAUGGGAUCGUGAAGAGUCAGACAUGACUGAAUGAAUGAACAACAAUGACACAGUAAGUAGAUAAAUGGAGAUAAAUAGAAGAGUGGAGAAAACUGAAGUAAAGAAGAGGAGUAGAACACUAAAAUGAAUUGCUAGGUGCUGCAAAAGAGGUUGGAAUGUGUGUUUAAUUGUCUAUUAAGGGUUUUUUUUAGAACUUUAUGUAAUAUGUAUGUUUUAUAUCUUGAAAAAUAAUAAGAACUGUAAAGAUAGAUGGAUAGAUAGUUACUUAGGUAGAUAGAGUAUCUUCUGUCAACUGAGCAGAAAGAUUCCUCUGAGUGCUGUUUUUUUCUUUGCUUCUUAACUCUGUUUCCUGAUUUGUUCUUCUUUGUCCUCUGGCCCUACUUAUUUGUUCAAUUUCUAUUGCUGAUAAAUGCUUAGAAACCCUGAGAAAAGCUGACUGAUUUUAUAAGGUUAUUAUGGGGACAGAAAAAAGUACACCUUAGUAAACAUCUCUCUCUCUUUGGGCCUUCAUGGUCUUUAUAUGAUUGGAAUAAUCCCAUCUCUUUUGUUACCUUAAUCUUUUUUCUGAUUAUUUUUGUAAUUACUUUCUCAAGUUUCCCCCCGUAAUUCUUGUACUUUUAUACAUGUUCACCACAUAUGAACAUAAUUACCAUUUUCAUCACAUCCGUGCUAACAUUUGGAUGAUAGGCUGCUACCCAUAUGAGAGAGCUGAUCUGGGGUGCUAUAUCAUUUUUCUAGUAUCUACAUUCUCAUUUCUCUAAAUUUAUUAUUUUUAAUUUUCAUUAUGGCUUUUAAUAUUACCUUCAUCUUAUCUUACUUCACUAUCACAUGUUUACUCCAUUUCUGAAUUAUAAUCUUCACCAAUUCUUCUCUUCUUCCCAUUAAAAAUUUAAAUAAAAUCAUUAUAUUUCCUUGUACA